AUACGGAGGAUCCGAGCGUUAUCCGGAUUUAUUGGGCUUAAAGGGUGCGCAGGCGGCCAUUUAAGUCAGCGGUUAAAUCGUGGGGCUCAACCCCAUUCUGCCGUUGAUACUGGGUGGCUUGAUUGCGGUCGAGGUUGGCGGAAUUCGUUGUGUAGCGGUGAAAUGCGUAGAUAUGACGAAGAACACCGAUUGCGAAGGCAGCUGACCAGACCGCAAAUGACGCUCAUGCACGAAAGUGCGGGGAUCGAACAGGAUUAGAUACCCUGGUAGUCCACACAGUAAACGAUGAAUACUGGUUGUCGGCGAUAUAAUGUCGGAGGCGAGGCGAAAGCGAUAAGUAUUCCGCCUGGGGAGUACGCCGGCAACGGUGAAACUCAAAUGAAUUGACGGGG
rnacentral:rRNA from 1 species